rnacentral:rRNA from 1 species
UUGAACGCUGGCGGAAUGCUUUACACAUGCAAGUCGAGCGGCAGCGCGGGGCAACCUGGCGGCGAGCGGCGAACGGGUGAGUAAUAUAUCGGAACGUACCCUGUCGUGGGGGAUAACACAUCGAAAGAUGUGCUAAUACCGCAUACGACCUGAGGGUGAAAGCGGGGGAUCGCAAGACCUCGCGCGAUAGGAGCGGCCGAUAUCGGAUUAGCUAGUUGGUGAGGUAAAGGCUCACCAAGGCGACGAUCCGUAGCUGGUCUGAGAGGAUGAUCCGCCACACUGGGACUGAGACACGGCCCAGACUCCUACGGGAGGCAGCAGUGGGGAAUUUUGGACAAUGGGCGCAAGCCUGAUCCAGCCAUGCCGCGUGCGGGACGAAGGCCUUCGGGUUGUAAACCGCUUUCAGCCGGAAAGAAAUCGUCAAGGCUAAUAUCCUUGAUGGAUGACGGUACCGGAAGAAGAAGCACCGGCUAACUACGU